GUACUCCCUUUGGCAGUACACAUACUGAAAUUGUAAUGACAGAGAAGAUUAGCAGUCCCUGCACAAGGAUGACAUGAAAAUUCAUGAAGUGGUCCAUACUCUU
ensembl:snRNA U6 U6 spliceosomal RNA